rnacentral:rRNA from 1 species
GACGAACCGAGCGAACGUUGUUCGGAAUCACUGGGCUUAAAGGGCGCGUAGGCGGGCCGUCAAGUCAGGGGUGAAAGCCUCCAGCUCAACUGGAGAAGUGCCUCUGAUACUGGCGGCCUCGAGGGAGGUAGGGGCGUGCGGAACUUCCGGUGGAGCGGUGAAAUGCGUAGAUAUCGGAAGGAACACCGGUGGCGAAAGCGGCGCGCUGGACCUCUUCUGACGCUGAGGCGCGAAAGCCAGGGGAGCAAACGGG